rnacentral:rRNA from 1 species
UGGGGAAUAUUGGACAAUGGGCGCAAGCCUGACGACGCAAUGCCGCGUGGAGGAUGAAGGUCUUCGGAUUGUAAACUCCUGUUGCCAGGGACGAAUGGCUCCGACCUAAUACGUCGGAGUAUGACGGUACCUGGUGAGGAAGCCCCGGCUAACUCUGUGCCAGCAGCCGCGGUAAUACAGAGGGGGCAAGCGUUGUUCGGAAUUACUGGGCGUAAAGGGCGCGUAGGCGGCCUCUUAAGUCGAACGUGAAAUCCCCGGGCUCAACCCGGGAACUGCGUCCGAUACUGGGGGGCUUGAAUCCGGGAGAGGGAUGUGGAAUUCCAGGUGUAGCGGUGAAAUGCGUAGAUAUCUGGAGGAACACCGGUGGCGAAGGCGGCAUCCUGGACCGGUAUUGACGCUGAGGCGCGAAAGCCAGGGGAGCAAACGG